AUUGAACGCUGGCGGCAUGCUUUACACAUGCCAGUCGAACGGUAACAGCACUUCGGUGGCUGACGAGUGGCGCACGGGUGCGUAAUACAUCGGAACGUGCCUAGUAGUGGGGGAUAACUACUCGAAAGAGUAGCUAAUACCGCAUGAGAUCUAAGGAUGAAAGCAGGGGACCUUCGGGCCUUGCGCUACUAGAGCGGCUGAUGGCAGAUUAGGUAGUUGGUGGGAUAAAAGCUUACCAAGCCGACGAUCUGUAGCUGGUCUGAGAGGACGACCAGCCACACUGGGACUGAGACACGGCCCAGACUCCUACGGGAGGCAGCAGUGGGGAAUUUUGGACAAUGGGCGCAAGCCUGAUCCAGCAAUGCCGCGUGCAGGAUGAAGGCCUUCGGGUUGUAAACUGCUUUUGUACGGAACGAAAAGCCCUCUUCUAAUACAGGAGGGUCAUGACGGUACCGUAAGAAUAAGCACCGGCUAACUACGUG
rnacentral:rRNA from 1 species